CGCGGAGUAGAGCAGUCCGGUAGCUCGUCGGGCUCAUAACCCGGAGGUCGCAGGUUCAAAUCCUGUCUCCGCAA
rnacentral:tRNA from 11 species